AAUUUAAAAAGUUAGACAACUUGCUAAGGAAUUGUUUGAUUUCCAAAAAAAUCUUUGAAAACAACUAAUCUGUGAAAAAUAUGUAAAACAACUAAGGAAGUAUUAAUUAGAAAAAAAAUCCAGAUUCUGUAGAAAAACAAUAUUUUUAUUUUUAAAUGUUUUAUUAAAAAAAAUAAAAAUGGUAAAAAAUUUAUUUUGCUUAUGUAUCCAAAUAAUAGUUUUAUGUAUUUUGUUUCCAGAAUCUAAACAACCCAUAAUUACCAGUGUUUUAAAAAAUUAGGUUUGCACCAACUUGCCCAAUCAAUCGGACUGCGACCGGGUCCUUAAGCCGGUUUGAUUUGAUCCAUAAAAUCGAAAAUAUUUAAAAUUCUUAUUGAUCUAUCUGAAAUGACGGUUCAACUAGUAAACUAGCCUACCGACCGUCCCUAGAGCAAGUGGUAAAAGAUUUGGUGGUUGGUAUUCGAGACCCAAGUUCGAAUCCUAGUUGAUUCACAUUUCUAGUUAAGUUUAUUUCUGAAUGAAAUAAAAGAAACAGAUAGCGAGCUAUCUGCCUCUCUCAAAAAAAAAUAAAAAAAGAAAAACCUAGUAAACUAACCUCAUUUUAAUUGGACUGAUGAUUUGAUUAGUUCAGUUUAAUUUUUUUCAAAAAAUUAUAAAUAUAUUUUAUUUAAUUUAUUUAUAAUAUUAUUUUGAUUUUGCUGGUUUGAUCGGUCGAACCACAAAUUUGAUCAGUUAAAUUAAAGAGACCUAUCAAUUUUUCUUUUUUCUUUUUUCUUUUUUCUUUUUUGGGUUUGUGCAAUCGAUUUCAAAUUUUAAAAUAUAAGAAAUUGUCCUGCAUGGUGCAUUUUCAAUGUACAACAACAAAAAAGCGCCGUCCCAAAAAUUUGAACAAAGGAGGCGCCAAAAUUGUAAGGGAAUUUUGGGAGGGCGUAGUAGAGCUGUACAGUUACACCAGUAAUUGCGUUGCACCUCUGGAUACAACACACAACCGACGCGUACGAUGCGGUGGAUCGCGCUAGUAUCUGAUCGUACGGCCGUUAUACCUCGCCCCAUACGACAUGAUGUGAUGCGAUCUUUUUCCAAACCGACGACGCUGAUUUGAUUGGACGACCCUGUUAUCUGAUCCGCGACGGACAUGUUUUGCUCCCGUGGGUGGGAGAUUGUUGUUUCCAAUUCGAAAUGAAAUAUACAAAAAAAACAAAUUAUUAUUAUUUUUUAUUUUACGGAUUUUGAAAAAAAAAAUGGAGUCUUGAUUUUUCGUUGUUUUUAAUAAAAACGAAAACUCAAACUAUAAAAAAAAAAUUAUUUUUUUUUAUCAAAAUAAAUAUGUGUGAAUUUUUUUUCUUUCAAACUAAAUAAAUCUAAAUUGUUUUUAUAUAAAAAAAUUAUUUUUUUUAUGGAUUUACUAUUUAGGUAAAAAUUGUGUGGUGUGGUGCGGUGCGGGUCCUAUUGGUCGCUGCGACCCGCGAUGGGCGGCGCGCGGUAAGGGAAACGGGUUCGAAUUUCGGUGCGGGUCCCACCCGCACAUGGGAGAUCGUAGUAGCACUCGUUCCAUGCACCGGGUUCGCCGGGCUUUUCGUGGGCCGUCUAAGUGGGCCCAGCCCUCGGAUCACUAGAACCUCGUUCGGACGGUGGGGAUUCGAAGAAAAUAUUGAUGGAGGGUGGAUGAUUUGUACGGUCCACAGCUGAGGUCAGUGAACAUGGUUCGUGUAGUAAUUUCACCGGUGACAGCUGUAGCUACUUAGGAGGAUAUGAAAAGGUAGAAAUAUUUAGGAUCGAAAAGGACUACGUAGAGUUGUUGCCCUACACGGCUAAAUGCUAAUAAUAAUAAUAAUAAUAAUAAUAAUAAUGGUGUACUACUCGGAUGGGCCUUUUAGUUUCAUAUAAUUAUAAAUAUAAUAUAUUUAAAAAUAUAAUAAUAAUUAUUACAUAUAUUUUAUAAUAUAUUUAAAAUAUAAUAAUUAUUAUUAUAUAUAUUUUAUUUAGUUGGUAUUAUUAAAAGUACUGUAAUUAUAGAUAAUCAUUUUAAUUGUAUUAAGUCUAUUUAUAAAAUUUUAUUAUUUUAUAUGUUGGACAUGGAGGCUAUCCUUUAUAUAGGAAAAAAAAUAUUUUUUUGUGAAAAGUAAUUAUAAGGAGGUAAGCUUUUUUUAUUUUAUUUACGACUACCUUCUCCAAUUGAUACAAUUGAGCUCUCUCGUACAGUUAAAAUCAAGUACAUCAAAUCAAACUAAGUACUGAAUUUGGAUCUGUAUUUAUUUAUUACUGUAAUGCAAUCAAACAACCUCUUAAUUUUGUGUCACCUGUUUAUAAUAUAUGGACGCUAUAAUGGGAGAAGUUUUUGUUUUGUAGCCCAUAUAUGUUAAUUCCAUGCAUCAAGUUGUUAUUUGAUUUUUUUUGGGUGCUUAAAUGUUAUUGAAGCGCAAACCAAACAGUGAAAAUUUCUAUACUCAAUAUUGUUAAUGAAGAGUAUUAAAAUAUAUAGCCUUGUAACGAAAUAUCACCUAGGACAUGGGAAAAUAUACAUAUACUUUGGGCGUAUUAAAAAUGUAUAAAGAUAGUAUUUUGGUGACCAAUGAAAAGUAGUGUAUGAAAGUGGCCGAAGAUGGCUAUCUUUUGAACCCUUGAGUAGUUGAGUGAUCCUUAAGUUUGCUAAAAUUUGUAGCUCAUCUUUUUUCUCCUAGAUUUUCUUUAUUAUCUCCAAGCAAAUUAAAUAACUUGUGUGGUCGAAAAGAAGCCAACAUUGUACAGAAAAGCCAAUAUGUGAUCAUCAAUCUCAAUAUAUACAUAUAUAUCUAUAUAUCAGGUGGAGCCACAAACUCAUUGGAGGAUUUGGAGGGGCCUACCAUGUUCUCUUUGCUUCUCUUUAUAUUGCUCAUAUCCUAAGCAUUAGGUUGGAAUUUUUAUUGACCAAUAUAGCAUCCUCCUUCAGCUGUUCUUAUCCACUUUUGGCUUUACAAGCUGUGGGGGUGUUGCAGGGGUGGGGGUGUGAGGUGUUUUGAUGUUCUCAUAUCACUGUACAUGCAUGGUUGCCCAGGUCAAAAUGUAGGUAAUACAUAGUUUGAUUAGAUUUUUGUUCAAUGGUCCAUCUACGUUGUACGCGGCAUGGGGUCCAUCCAAUUUAGGGAGAUCUGUGAUUCGGAGAUCGAUCAUCUUAUUUUUCGGCUUGUUUUUCACUUUAAUAUAUAUGUCGUGUUAGGACUCGUAUGAAUCUAACCGUGCUCGUAUAAUUAAUGUUCGAUUGGUUUAGAGCUUUUGCAGGAAUAAUUUUUCAGAGGAGGUAGAAUUAAGUUUAAAACUAUAUUUUUUGAUUUUAGAGGGUUUGAUCAAAAGCUCAAUCAACAUCCUAUCAAUAGAAUAUCUUACUUUACUGUUUGUUAAGCACCGUAUUGCUACUUCGUAUAGCCAUUAGAUUAGUUUAUUUCGAAAGCCAAACUAGCUAAUUACUAUUAACUUCUUCAAAAACCAAUCCAACACUCCCCUCCUCUAGAUCUCUCUCUCUCUCUCUCUCUCUCUCUCUCUCUUCUUUGGACAUGCAACAACUUCCACUAGCUAAGACAUGAAGCAUCAGUUGCGGCAUUUCUGGCACGUUCAUAUGUCUCCUCUGUUAUGCAUGCUAGCCACUAUGUCCAUGAUGAUUGAUAUACAUAAAAUAUAUAUAUAUAGCUUAUGUUCAUCUUCUAAAAAGCCUAUAGAGCCCCACAUACCCUUCUCCAUUAUUAUUCUAGUUAGGGAGAAAUGCAUGAACAUUGAUCACCAUGCACAUGCAAAUCCUACAUGUAUAUCCCUCUAUAUAUAUAUAUAUAUAUAUACAUCCUUUACACCUAUGAUGAGACUUGUUUACGUUUAAAGAAACCAAGGAUAGAAAGGUGACUACCUUUCAAUCUCCACUAGUAGAACAGUACGGGCCUGUGUACUGUUUAAUUUACUAUUUUUAUGUAGUCCUAACAAUGUAAUUAAUUACACGUAACACACGAAGACCAAAAACAAAUAGUCACCGUUUCUUAAUUUUAAAGGAAAAUAAUUCGAGUAUACAUAUGCAUAAUAAUGAGGAUCUUGUCUAUAAUUGAAUAUCUAUAUAUCUGAAAUGAUAAUCACAAAAUUUUGAGGUCAUAUACUUUGUGGCUUAUGCAUACUAUGAUCUUAUUGGAGUCGGAGCUUUAAAUUCGUCAACAGAUCAUUGAACUAAAGCUUUUCAUCUCUUAAUUUAAACAAAAAAUUUGUGUUUUAAUGUACCGUAUUGUAAAAACAAAAUGUUACAUAUUUGAUUCUUUACUUUCACAUGAUCGUAUUGCCAGGAGAUUUUAGUUGAAUUCAAAUCAUGUCCAAGUCUACACAUCACUUUAGUUUUAACAAUUUUAUCAUUCACCAUAGUUCACAUAUGUCUUUAUCAUGAGAAAAAAGUUUACAAAAUAUUAUCUUAUUAAAAGGCUUGAACUUUUUAACUGAGUCAUGAACUUAAAACCCAUGUUCAAAUUGCUUAUUUUAUUUAGAACAACAUAAUAUAAAAACAAGUUAGGCACAAAUUAAAGCAAAAAAAAAUUAUCCCCUUUUUUUUUUUCCUUUUUAAAAUAUUUGGAUACGAUGACUAAGCGCGGAGUGGUUUAUUAGGCGGGCGGGGGGGCGAUGAAUGGACGGCGCACGAAGGAGCGUUUCGAUUGGGUGGAGGGUGCGUCGCAUGCGGACGCCUGGGACGGAAUCUUUCCAAGGGCGGUCGUAUGCGCCGCCCGUGAGAUACCGUGGAGUGCGGCGUUCGCUUCACGCGCACACAGGUAUGUAUGCGGGCGCCCAAUAUCCAAUGCUUUUGCAUUGGAUUAAUUUCUAAUAACGGCUGUAAUUAUUUUGACGCAUCAGAUUUGAUUAGAUUGGUGGUUACAAUUCGUUUUAUUUAUUUUUUUAAAAAGUAAAUUUAUCUAAAAAUAUGAAAUAAUUAAAUUUCGAAUUUGAAACCUCGAAUACUAACUACCAAAGUUUUUCUCCUUUGCGACUUGCGCUAGGACAGUUGAUAUAAGUAAUUAAAGAUGUAAAUACUCUUCACUCAUCCUAACAAAUAUGUUAUAUGCUGUAGUGCUCCAGUUCCUGCGCGCCCCGACGUGUAAUUGACUAUUAAUUGACAACUGAUGAUGAAAUCUAAGAGGCUUCAAGUACAAGUGAAGGGUUUUACUAUUUAAAUUUCGGGUUUUGGUAGGAGUUGCGUAAGGGUCUAAUUAAAAAAGUAAGGCCUUGAACGGAUUAUUUACAAAUUAGGAUCUGUGAAAAGGAGAAGAAGAAGAAGAAGAGAAACAAAUCCAUUAUCCUUGUCCCCGUUUAGCCUUAGUUGUGAUAUCGCUGUUGGAAGCUCUCUCGUAGGGUCUUCGUUUAUUGCUGUGACUUGGAUGGAGAGCAUUUGUUCAACCACAACACCUAUUACUAACUUAUUUCCUUUCAAAUUGUACGUUGUUGAACAAACCCACUAAGAGUGCUCUACAUUAACAUUCCCUUUGUGCAAGAUGGAGUGUUGCAAUCACUCGCUAUGGUGUCGAUGUUGUUAUCUUAAUCAUACACACGUACGUAAGAGAGUCAUGUGGUGUAUUAGAGGGGGUUCAUCUGUAAGAAACCUAACGCAAUAGAAUUGCCAACAAUUCCAAUUAUUGGAAAGCUUUUUCCAUGGUCUGGGAAAGUCAGUUGCGUUGACAUCAAUCAAUAUUCAGCAACAAAUCAUGCAGUAAGUAGUUAGCCCACCCAACUCAGUAUGUGGCGUUUGAGAUCUGAUAGUGACCAGUUAACCAUGCUAAACCAAUUACGGGUUUGUAACCCAUCGGUUCGGUUCAAGAAACAUGCACAAUAUACACUUUGGUGUUUUUGGUCAAUGUUGAUGUGGCACGGACGAACGUAGGAGUAGGGGCAUGUAUUAGACUAGUUUGUGGACUCGGGCACCCAAACAACCGGGGAUAUAAAUGCAUAGGUAGUAGUUCCUUAACUGUGGACAAAUUAUGAUUUGACCCCUACUAUUUCACUUAAAAUAGACUAGUGAACUUAACAAAUUUGUUGCGGUGUCACCCUAAACGCAUUUUCGAAGCAAUACGUAGAUGUCCGUCCGGAGACCCGCAAACAAACUAACAAAUGGGUAAACUUUUGAAAAUUAAAUACCAUGAAAUCACAGCAAAUUCAGAGUAACACGAACGAUCAAGCAGCAAAUUGUGAUUUGUAAAAAUAACUAUUUAUGGAUUAUAAAAAUCCCCGUUACAGUCCAUUUCGGAGAGAGAAAAAAAAAGCCAUUGGUUAACAUGGUCGGAACUCUCCAGUAUGAGAAAAUAAUUAAUCGACAAACAAGAACGGGGAGUAAAGAAUAAAAUUCUGCAACAAGCAUUACCGAUAACAAUACCUUGUGGAAGCAAAAUCGGAAAAGCAGCAGCCCAAAUCAAUUUCCUGCCCCAGAUUUGGUACUUACUGUAACAAAGAACACAAAGAGGAAAACCGGCUGAGAAAACAAAAACGUGUCCCCAACUUCUAUAGACACCGAAUUUUUCUGCACAUGAAACUUGAUUACAGUUCUAUUUGCAGCCUCCAAAAUAUACACAUGAAAUCGGAGUGAAGAUUCUUUUGCUACCUUCGGAAGAACUUGCGUAAUCUACAACUUGAUCGGAUAAGCUUUAUUAUGAUUUACAUUAUCAGUGACGGUACUCGUAAGGAAGCUUUACAGAUUUUACAUGGAAUAUAAGAAGCCGAAAUCGGAUGCAACAAACUAAUAAUAGUAAAGAAUGCCUAUUGAGCAAUAUACAAGCGGCACAUCAGGAAUAAGACGGGACCUUGUUCCCAUCUUUCCCACUUAAGGAGACCUGCGAUUGACAACAAAAAGUGAAGGAUGGUUGAAAAUGUGCUCUAAAAUCCAAAUUUAUAGAGUUGUUAUUCUUCUACCAAAGAGCAACGAUGAGGUACAGUAAAGCAGCUUCUAGGCAUACAAAGCAACAAUCUGAACAUGAUUACCACUAUUAGUAAGAAAAGCUGCUAAGAUAAAAAGAGUUUAGCAUAGCCAAUUUAGCAUUUCAGGCGGGUGAACAAGAGAAAAAGUUUACCUAAACAGUUUUAACUACUGUAUGAUUCACUGAUUCUGGUAAAGGCGGGAAUAAUUGAAACACAGUUCAAACACGUCACAUUUUCACGAUACCGAAGAUCAAAUUACCCACCGAAAGACUCCAGCUCAAGGUGGCAUCUCCUAAGUGAACGCACCUCUAUAUAUCUAUCCAAAUCCUUCGCGGGUAACCAGGUGUCAAGAAAAAGAAAUUUGAUAUUUCGGAAAUGCAGAAAUAACUAAACCAACACAACACAAAAAUAGAUGUAACGAACCGACCCGCUAGCAAUAAUAACUCGUUGGGCUCAAACCACUAGUCCAAAAUGCUUAAGCCCAGUUAUUAUGUCUAGUGGGUCGGGUCGUUAUAUUUGGUAUCAGAGCCUGAUAACCAGCCGGAAGUGUGAGAUAGAUCUCACAUCGCCUGGUGAAUCUGGAACUAUGUAUAUGAUUGGGUCGGGCUGAUGAGGACGUCAGGACCUAAACGAGGGAGUAUGUAACAUCCCAAUAGUCCCACAUCGGAUAAUGUGGGAGAGCCUGCUGGGUUUAUAAGUAGCGGACACACUAGACAUAAUAACUGGGCUUAAGCAUUUUGGGCCGGUGGUUUGGGCCUAACGAGUUAUUAUUACUAGCGGGUCGGGUCAUUACAUUUUAGGCCAGUGGUUUGGGCCCAACGAGUUAUUAUUGCUAGUGGGUCGAGUCGUUACAAUAGAAAUACAUAAAUGUGUACAAUAAUGCUUGACUUGUGGAGCGUAGACGGUCCAUUAGGCUCACAAAGAUCAAGCUUGUUAGGAACAGUCAUAAGAGUUGGAGAAACAGUAAGCACCACGAACUUCUAAAAGAUCAAUAUCGCAUCAAAUAUAUUUAUCUUCUGUUUGUUAGUUCAAUACAAUCUAAAGCACCUUCCUGUGGCUCAAACAGACAGUGACAAUGUUUCCAUGCCUCAAUAGCAACAUUAUAGUAAAGACAAAUAGCCAAAAUUUUUUACGCGCAUUCCCUGUCCCAUCUCUCCACAGAAAUAGUAAGACAAAGGGUAUUACAUAUAGUGCUAACACCUUUGAAGCAACAUAAUGUAAAUGGCAUGAUUUCAAACAAGACACAAAUAAUAUGAAAACAUAAACUUCAGAAAAGGACAGUACCAAAAGAAUAUCCUCAUCAGUGCCGAAGGAUUUGCGUGCCUCAUCUAGGCACUCCAUGGAAACUCUCUCAUGUUUCCUGCACAACAAAAAUAAAGACAAAACAUCUAUUCACAAGUACAAAAGAAAAUGACACUAAUUGCCACAAAUAGCAGCCAUUUGAAUUUAUUUCAAAACGCAAGUGACAAAAAAUUAGGAGUAACAGAAAAGUGGUAAAUUUUUCCUGCAAAACUAAACAAAGACAAACCUCAAAUAAGGUUUACCUUGAACUUGCAGGAUCCCGUAUUUCAAAUUCGCCGGCAUUGCCAUCAUAGCCACAUAUUACAAUGUAAUGCCCUAAAAAAGGAUCAUGAGAGUCAGUAAAACAAAUAUUAGAUUUCCCACGCGUUAACUUGGGUGGGGGGGAGGGGGGGGGGAAGAAUGAGUAUUGCAAUAAAGAAAAGAUGAAGUAAAAGGCCCUGUGAUAUCACAGUAAAGCAUCUUAACUUAUACUACUCGUAAAAAAGAAAGUUCGUUGGAAUUUUCUUUCCAAAAAUGCUCAUUUAUUUAGAUUUAAUACCACUUUUCUCCGAGCAAUCUCAUUCUUCAAUUGUUUAAUCCAUCAAUAGAAAGUGUACAAUUCAAAAUUCUAUUUAAUGCAUGUUUCUAACAGAUUAAUUUUGUAUGGUUGGAUCUAAUCCAAUGGAUGACAGAUGAACUAUCAAACAAUUUACAUACCAAAAAACCUCCUAGCAAAAUUUAGAAUCAAACAGUGUCCAAACAUUAUCAAUUAAUAAAAUCUUCUUAAUCAAUGGAGUGAUGACUCCUUUGUCUGCAUACUAUUGAUUUCCUUUGCACCACUCCCAAGAUCCCUCUAAUUAGUUUUAAAUCAUACCAUUUAUUUUGGUAAAAGUGUACGGAGGCCCCCCUCAUCUUUAGGCCUAUUUAUGAAUUAGCCUCAACUUUUCUUUUUCUUUUUCUUUUUUUUUUUUUUUUUUUUUGGGGUCAAGACGCACUGAACCCCAAAUUUUUAGAAUAUAAUAAUUUUAGCCAAAUAAACUAGGAAUUGAACCAAAAUGAUUAAUGAUUUCAUAAAAUUUAAUAGUUUAAACUCAAUUUAAUUAACUGCUAUUAUCUAGCUAAUUAAGUUACGAAAUUAAACAAAAUUUUUAACUUAAUUACCAACAAAAACUAAAAAUUAGAAGUGUAUCAAUAAAAAUAUGGAUUAGAAGGGUAUCAAUAAAAGAGAAUGGAGUAAUUAACUACUCUGUAGCGAAUAAAACUGAAUUAAUUUCUCAAUAAAAAAAAGUCAAAAGGGCAUCGAUUCAAAAAUAAAUAAAUAAAAGUUGAGGAGACUAUUUCAAAAUGGCCUAUAGUUGAGGGGACCUCUAUAUAUUUACCCUCUCUUUUUUGCACUCUCUUUCCAUCCCUUCCUAUCCCUCUUCCUUCCUCUUAUUCUCUCUCUCUUAUUCUCGAGAUUUAUAUUCGUGUAUCUCUUGGGAUGCCCUUUCACCAUUUUGAAAUGUCACCUCAACUUUUUUGCUUUCCAAAUGACAUUCCUUGAUUUUUGAUAUUUCUAAAUUAAUUAUAACGUAUUAAUACUAAUUGGCAUGUAGUAAAAAUUAGUGCUAACAUAGCAAAUAUAAAUUGAAACUGAGAUGACAGGUUAUGUAACUGUACUUUUAAAAGUAAGAAUUCAAUUAAAAGAAAUAAUAACUAAAAACUUAGUAAUAACCGGGAAUCAAUGGUGCAAUUAACCCAAAUUUGAACACAAUUCAUGCUUUUACUCUCAAACGUAGAAACUUAAAACUUAUCAAACAUUUUAGAAAAGAAAAAUUACUAAAAAUUAUUACCUCUUUGAAUGUGUGCAACGUGCACAUGGCUAGUUAGCCGGAAAAACCACUUUUGUUGGCUUCUAGCUCCGUUGGUAUCAAAACUAACUUUUAGCUUCUUACAAAGGAGGAAUUGAUAGCACAUUCUGACUUUAAAAAUGGACUUCCAAAACUCAUACACUAUAUGAAAUCAUUAAUAUAUAUUAGGAUAUAAAGACUUUUGGUUUCAGCCCUUUCUAUAGUCAGCAAUACAAUAUCGUGUCUAAGGACUUCUGUACCAUAUAUUACCUAUAUUAUCCUUGCAUAAACACAACUUAUUGUUGAAGUUACUGUGAAGUGUGAAUCAUCCUUGCAUCAUCAGUUACUAGAUAAACAAAUCGAUAACUGUAAUUUUAACUAUUCAGUAAGAAAAUGAAUCUUCUACUGCAUAAUAAUUAUAACAGACAGGAGAAAAGUCCGCACCCAUAUAAUCCGACCUCCCACUGUAGCAUUCACUGGCACGUACAUCAUGCAUCCAAGAGUUACUGCAUCAACAUAACUUGGUUAGUUCUUAUAGCAACAUCUCUAUAAUCCAGGUGGAAUAUUAGUAUUAUACGAGUUCUUUGUGAAAGCAUAUUGCUAAUUUUUAAUGCUGGAGGAAAAAUAGUAGAAGAUGCCUAACAACAUUGAACACAAGAAGGACAGCUGAAUGAGCCGUGCUCGUAAAAUAACAAGAGACAAGUUAAGAAUUUGCAACCUUAACUUAGUCUUGUCAACUAGGGCAACAGCAAUACAAUGACCAGACAACAGAAGGAUAGAAAUGUCCUUCGAGCUAAUGGAUCUGCACUGUGAAGGAUUAGGAAUUUGUUAAACCAAUUGAAGGUACGAGUUUGUGGCUAAUUAACAAAAUGAAGUUUUCACAUAUUUUCUCCAUUGAACAUAACCCUGCUUAGAAAUAUAGUGAAGAGCAUAUACUUGUAUACUAAUCCCAGCUUCAAGUGCCUUUUCGAACAGCUCACCCACUCGACUGGUAUCAUCUUCCAAUUGCUCCUGUACAUGUCCCAACUCAUCAAUGAAUAAUGUAUAUGAAAAGAAUAAGCAUCCCUCUUAAGAGAAAAAAAGAUAAAAGCCAAUGCAUCAUGGAGGCAAAAAGAGGAUAGUGGUCAGUCACCGCACUUCUCUUAAUCUGAAGAAAUUUUAUGAAAUGUCUACAAUCAUGAUUUAUGGAUCAGAUUUUGAGCAAUCCUGAGACAAUAUAUCUAAAGAUUAAGCAAAGAAAAAUGUUGAGAUAGAUAUGCAGGAUUAACAAAAAUAUGCAAUGAAAAAAGAAUGGUAUAUCACACAUAUAUAGUCCACCGAAUAAAAGUUACAUGAGAACUGAUUAAGAUGAUUUGGGCACAUGCCACACAGUGCAUCAGUAUAAAAGGCCAUAUUGCAACAGUACAGAAGGAUAGGCUUUCAUAUACUGAACUAUAGCUUAUAUUUCUAUUAUUUAUUAUACAACAACUGUCUUGUUACAGGCAUAACAAGAGAAAAAUCAGGGGAACAAUUGGAACUAACAUGAUGGAAAAAUGGUAAUGCGGAUGUAUAUAGAAACAUGAUUGAGAGAAUUGUUCAAAAAUUAAGAGAAUAAGAACACAGGAACCGACAUGAGAACUACCAGAAUGGCAAAAUGGUAUUUCAAAUACAUAGAAACAUGAAUGAAGGAAUCAUUCAAAUAUUAAAAGAAUAGGAAGUUAGGAACUCACUCUGUAAAAGGUCUCUGCUGAAUAAUUUGGAUUUACUCCUAGAGUCACCGUGAAGAAAGAAAAAUUAACUGAAAACUUAUGUAACAAGAAUGCCAGGUCAACCGUCCAGAUGCUGCAAAACUAAAACUAGCACAUCAGUCUACUGAAUUGAUCCACAAAGAAAAGACCAUAAUAAAUUUAGGGAACGAUUUGAAAUAUUCAAACAUAUCUCACAGUGGUCAUAGUAUUUUCGGUAUUACACAAAAAAAAUCAGUCCAAGCCUUAUAAAGUAACUAGCAUUGACAGCUAAAAGGCCUACGUGGUGGUCAGAUAUAAAAUAGUUGACAACAACCUUCAGCUUGCAACAAAAGUCUACAAACUAUCAACAGUACAUGUAAGACUCACCCAAAAUUCACAUAGAUUAGUGACAAGUAAUAACCCUUAAAGUUUAUACAUAACUGCCGUUUAGGGCUCCUAGGACGUUCAGCAGGAUUACAUUUGCAAAUUCCCUCACACGAACAGAACAGUAUAUUAAGUAAACGAGCAAGCGAUAAAUUUUGGAGAACAAAUGCCUCUGCAAUAGCAGGAUCAUAUUUAAAACCUCUGGUCCCACCCUUAGCAUUCCAUGUAUCUCGUAAGCAAACAUGUAGCAAACUGAGAUUCGUCUGAGUAAUAUUUAUGAAUGAUUUAAAUGACCGCACCAGACCUAACUGAAUUAAACAAUCCAUGAAUCACCAUGAAUCACAGCCUUGUUGUAUUGGAACAAAUUGUAUGAUUUAAUCGAAUUGCUUGUCCCUUGACUCAAAAGAGUGAGCAACAACAAAACAAACCUCGUCGUGGAGCAAAGUUUCUCGAGAUCGUGGAUAUCACAACACUCAAUCCCUAGAGCUCUUAACACCAUCAACACACAAGCAAGGCCACAAUCCCAAUUGAACAGUUGCCGCACGUGAGGGACCUAACAACCGCACGAUCAUCAACAAAUAGUUGAUAAAUAACCAAAAAAAAAAAGAAAAGAAGUCAAAUCAUGCUAAAAAGCUACUCACAUCUACGAAGUGGGAUCGAGCGGCGAACGAAGCUAAACUAUCAGCGGGCGAUCCCCCUUUUCCUUCCUGCUCCUCCUCAUCUCCUCCUCCAUCUCCGAUCAUCUUCGACAACUUGUCACUGAUAACGCACAGAGGCCACAUAACAUCACCAAAAGCUUCUCACCUCACACCAUUGCAGCCGCUUCCGCAUCGAUGCAAUCGUAUACCCCAAAAAUCGAAGACGACGAGUGGGGGGAAUCAAAAUCCCGUGCAAAUCGGGGGCGUCUGAGGUCGAUCACACGCGAUUAACAAGCUAAAAAACCUACUCGAAUCGGAUUUAGAGAUGGGAGUGUGUGGGACGUACCAGGGAUCGGGGAGUUGCGACGAGGACGACGACGAGGAGGAGGGGGGAUCGGAACGGGAAGCUUCUCGUGUUCGGCUCGUUUUUUGGGAAACGGAGCGGAAAAUGUUGAGAGGAUAAAUGAGAGAAUAGGGAAUGGCCCCAUUCGUUACUUAAUAAAACGGUUUCUAAAUGAGACCUACCUACCUGUGAAAGCGGUGCCUCGCCCAGUCGUGUGAUUCACUAUUACUAGUUGUCCUGUUUCCAGCUUUGCUACAACUUUCACGAAAAUCCUAACGCGAAAAAUAAUUCAAUAAUAGCCCUUCCACUGCAAGAAAAUUCGAAAUAUCGUUCCUAAUUGUCACUUUUCCUAGCCCCAGUACCUUUUUAUCAACGGUUGUUUAGAUUUGGGCAAAUUUUGAGCUUAGAAAAUUUGUUCACAAAACUUGUAGUUUUGACUAAAAUGAUUUGCAAAUCCAGUAAGUAAGAAUUUAGUGUUCUUCUUGUGCAUUCAAACUACAGUCCAUCUCAAUAUAACUAAUUUAUUUCGGUUGGACCACUGAUGUGCACCUGAGUGCCAUAUUUUGGAUGGAUCAACUAGCAAUAAUUAGAGACUUUUGGCACCAAGUGAUACCAAAAAAAAUAUAAAAAAAAGACCUUGUCAUCUAAAUGUCUCUAUACACCUCUGUCCACUUAAAAAGAGGACAAACUAUAUAUAUAUAAAAUAUCUCUCCACUUUACUCUCCUUACCAAGAAUUUUUUUCGUACUGUAAUAUUUUUUGAAAAAGAUAAUCGGUCAUCUGCUUUAUACAUUAAGAAGGAAAUAAACUUCGCAUCACUGAUAAAAAAUAACCAAGGCCUCUAACAAACAGUACAAAAAACAAAAUAAAGGCUGGUGCUCUUGUUCUAUAUAUUAUUAUGAUUUGAGCCUUAUAUUUUGGAAUUAUUUGAAAGUGGACGAUCAAAAAAUGAAAAGUUUGUGAGUUUUGCAAACUCCAACUUACCCCCAACUCCACCGGAGGCAAAAGGUAGAUUCGAAUGAGAUUAUGAUUUCAGCGUCCAACGUUGAUGACUUUUCUUGUAACCACGGAUUCAAACUAGCAGAUCCGCAAAAGCAAAUUAAACUUUUAUACAUAUUUCAAAUAAAUAAAAAUAAAUGGGAUGGUUAUUAAAAUUUGAUGCUAAAUUUUAUCGUGAUACAACAGUUAUCUAUAUUUCACAGCCUACAUUGGUCGCUUUCUAAAAAGGGGCUACAAGAACAGGUCUCGGUCUGCUACUGACGCGGGCCUUCACUCAAAGUGGGCUGCGUGGCCCAGGUUUGCGGAUCUCGCUUACUUUUUAUUGGGCCGGUUGUGAACAAGAACGAUGUGGACCAAACUGAAUCUCUUUAUAGAUAGGCCCUGAUUUCGCAAUUAACAGCCCAACUAGUGGUCCAUCAUCUCCUGGUUCCGUGCGACUCGUUUUACUUGGCGGGAAACAUCAAACAUUGGAAAAUUGGGGGGAAUUGUCGAUCUAGGAUUUCUUUCGCGCUCCAACUCUCCUCUUCCUCCUCAAUCCUCACCCCUCCGCGUUUCUCCUCUCUCUCUCUCUCUCUCUCUCUCUCUCUCUCUCUCUCUCACACACACACUCACACACACCCCUCCUCUCCUUCGCUUCCUCCCUCCUCUCGGCUUGCUUCUCCCCUGCGGCCACCUCCCUCCACAGCUCCCCUCUCCCAGGUGUUCCUCUCUCUCUCUCUCUCUCUCUCUCUCUGCGUGUGUCUGUGUUGUGCAUCUUAAGAAUGGGUUAGAUUUUAUUUGUUCUUAAAACAGUGUUUUACUCUGUUUUUCGACCUCUUCUGUUUAAUAAAACAUGAUUAUACCCUACUUUAACUGUCUCUCUCUCUCUCUCUGUUUUAGUCGAUCAUUGCGUAGGUUGUUUGGUUUCUUUUCUUCUCUUCAUUUUUUUCCGAACAUGUUAUUGUUUGGUUACUUGUGAAGUGUUUAUUGGAGUCUUUUGUGUCAUUUAACAAUUAUUGGAAAGUAUGGAGUUUCUUAUUUAUUUCAAAAUCCUGUAAAAAUGUGUGCCUUACCGGACAGUACUCUGUGCUUCGGUGUGCCUUGGGCUUUUUCUAAUGCUGGUCUACUACAGUCAUUUCUUCAUGUGCCUCUUAUAAAUUUAGUUAUUUUUAUUGUUGCUCUUAAUCAAAGACUGUAUUAUACCAUUUUUGUUCUUCGAGAGAAAUCUAUGAUUAUAAUUUAAUAAACUACUUUAUCGGCAACUAACUAACCUCUCCGGUGCAUUAUAGGUUACAGGCGCGAAGAGGAAAUGUAUGGGGGACGAGCAUCCCAGCUCUUGAAGGAGUUAGGCUCCUGCGAAGCUGGACAACUCACACCGUUCGAUGUAAGCUGUUCAUAAACUUGUGCAGCUUUCGAUAUUCUUUUAAAUAUUAACAACAAUAAGAGAAAGUUUAUCAAUUAUGCAACCUAUGCUUUAGAACCACACCUAAUCAAACGCUUCUUGAUUUUUCUCGCCAAAACUGUAGAAUCACUCUAUACAACUCGUGUCAGCUAUAUUGUGUUUUCUCAAUUUCCUUUUGAGGAUUCUAUAUUUGUUUGUGCUGCUUAGGCGUCAGAUACUUAUACCGCAGCAUUGAAUACAUGAGUACCGUAAGAUUGUAUUAGUAUGUUAGCGCGAGGCCUUUGGGUGCUUGAAAGUGGCAAGAUGCUCUUAAUCUGUUAGGGAGGCCUAGAGAUGUUGAUUUUUAAACCAGAUCUUCACCGGCUAAUAUUUUAGCUUCGGUUUUCAACUUUAGGCAUCUUCAUGCAGUACCCUUCCAUUCUAUAGAAUUAAGAUGGAAUUAUCAUGACAGCCUCUCUUAUCAGAAAAUCGUACGAUUAUAGGCUUUGCUGAAACUGAAGAAUCACAAAUUUGUACUUUUUGCAGCCAGAAUUAAGAACUAGUUGAGGGCUUGGCACGUCUAAUAGUGGAUAAUCAACUUAUAAGUGAUUGUAAAGAAUACUUGUUAUAACUGUUUCAGCUUCAAGAUCCCAGCUGUAACCUUUUGGGUUCUUGCGGUGGCGAUGAGUUCUGAUUGUUGCGGAAAUAAGUUGUUUUUAUUUUUCAUUUGGAUUACAUGUGUUGCAAAGUUAAUUGAUUUUGAUCAUUUUGUAUCAAAGUAAUUUUGAUUAACCAUAGCUUACUUGGUGCAACGAUUAACAAUGCUGCUGUCUAAUUGGACAUGCAGAGUGAUUCAUUUGAUCAAGUCACUAAGGAGUAAGGAAUGUAACGAGCAUAAUCUGCAGCUUCAGUCGUUGAUCAGGUGAUUCACAUGGUUUUUCUGCUCAACGUAUACCUUGUCUUUCACAAAAGAUGGAUGUAUAUGAGUAGUGUGCCCAAAAGUAUUAUCUUCGUGUUGUAUAGAUCAUUUUUUCUCGAUAAUUUACCACUCUUUUGCUUCGAAAAAAAAAACCACACACAUUUUGGGUUUGCCAACUACAUAAUUUUUCUAUUCUGUGGUAGAAAAAUUGAGGAUCAGAACUUAGACGUACAAACGACUAGAAACGAGGAUCACUUUGGUGCAGUUAUACAUCAUCUUUCUUUAACCCGUAACAAAAGAUGUCCCAUGGCUUACAUGUAAGCACAUGAUUGAAGAGUACUUCCCUGGUUGAAUGAUUUUUUUUCUCCAAAUUAUAUUGUUAUCAUACAUGUCCAAGCUUUACCUCCAUACAAUAAAUCUUUGUUAAAUUAAUACAGACUAAAGCUAUUACAUCCAAAUAGGUACAACCGCGCAGAAGUCAUUCAGAGUUUCAGAUGGAAAGUGGGUCCUGUUCUUCCACAAGAAAUUCAACAAAAACGCAAUUAUUCUGAGGAAGAGUAUUUAAAAAAUCACUCUGCUGCCAUAGAGUCCUACAUGUCCGAGCUAGAUCUGGAUUUGACUGUGGUAUCUUUAACCUUCUUAUCAUUCUCAUGCCUAAGAACCAACUAUUUUUCAAUCAUAAAUGAAUGAGGUAUUUACAUUUGUAUUCCCCGCAAAAUCAUCUAUUCAUAUAUGUCUAUAAAAUCUGAAUUUUCAGAUACCCCUUGAAAAUUUUAAUUUCUUACGUAUAUGUAUAUACUAUCAUACUUAAUAAAACUAGCCCUCCUUAAAAAACUUGUUCUUAUAAAACAUUAACCUUCCCUCAUGAAUGAGAUUACCCUCCAACUCACGAUAAGGGUACUUUCAUAAUUAGCUAUGCUUGUGAGGAGUAUCGAAGUUGAGAUUUUACGACGGUAUAGAUUUAAAUAGAUAAUUUUGCUAGGGGAUAUGUUAAACCACCUAAAGGAAGAACAUGGACUUUGUAGGAUAUGGUACCUCCCAAGGAUCCUUAUAUCUGUGUUAGGGUACUUGAUGACAUCAGAGAAGUUUGUCUCGGCGAUCAUUCGAUAUCUCUGACUAAGCACUCACUGCAUUUUCUUAGGCGUACAGAUGCUGAGCAAUUUAUAUCCCAGGUUUGUUACUGCAGAGUUCGCCUCAUCUCAAUGUCUACGUUUCUUCCUAAUGCUGAACUCUUGUUUAAAAUAUUAGGGUCUGAUGGAAGAGUUUCUGGAGUAGAAUCUUCAGUCAUGACAGGUGAUGGUAAUUCUCUUCCCUUUGUUGUAUUUCCUAAAAUUCUCCUAUUUUAGGAAAUGCAAGGGUAUCAAGUUUUGAAUCAAGCAAAAUUUCUUCAUGGUAGUAGGCUUUUGCUAAGAAAUUGGUAGCUUACUCGCUAUUUUUUUUUUUUUUUUUUGAGAGAGAUAGGUAGCACGCUACCCGCCUCGUUUAUUUUAUUUAAAAAUAAACUUAGUUGGAAAUAUGAAUCAACUAGGAUUCGAAUUUGGGUCUCGGGUAUCAAUCAUCAAGCCCUUUGCCGUGCUCUAAAAAUAAACGUAGCUUACUCGCUAUUAUCGCUACUGAGCAUAGAACUUUGCAACCUCUGGAUAGUAUGCCUAUAAAGUAACUUAACAAAAAUGUACUCCACAUUAGAGUGCUGGGCAACUUUUCUUCGUUAAAGAUCCUGUUUCUGCUGGUUUGCCAGAUUCAAUCUGACCGCCGUAUCAUCCUCCAACAGGUUGCACAUGUAAGCCUUACUCUUCUUUUUCAGUUUUUUGAGUGGAACCCAUCUUUUUCAGGUUGCACAUGCAACAACACGAAUGAUUUUAUGCUUUUAUCAAAAUUCACACCAUUACAUGCAAACAAAAAUAUACAGUUUCUUUUCCGUGUACGUUCAUCACCAAGGGAUAAAGCUCAGAAUAACAAGAUGCAGUAGGUCUCAUACAUAAUUCCUAAUUCUACGCGCAAUUUCAAAUUUGCACUCGAUUUUAUGUAAAAUUUAUAAUUCUAAUAACUGAGCUUUUACAGCGGUAAAGCUUGCACUUCAAAGUUUGAAUGCUGUCGCACUUUAUUUCAUGCAGAAUUUAUAGUAAGAAUUUAAGUAUUUAUCGGUACAGAUUGCAUUUAUUGUGUUAUAUCGUGCUAAUAAAAUAUCGGCGCGAUAUAGUUUUUGUGCCGAUAGUAUAGUUUAAAAUUAUUUAUUUUUUAAAUUAAUAAGUAAUUUUUUUUAAUAAAGUUUGAUAAAAUUAUAUAAUAAAUAGUUAAAAUAUUUUAUUGUUAAAGAAAAUAAAUAUUUCAUGCUAUUAUAUGUCGGCAUAUAUAAUUUUUUUUAUGAUUGACACGUAUCGGUAUGGUCGGCAUGUAUUGUAUUGCUAAGUUUUUAGCACGAUUUUGUGUUAUGGUAUUUAAAUUCUUGAUUUAUAGUUUUGGUAAAUUGGAUUGUCAUGUGUGUAAUGUACUGCUAAUAUAUGUCUAUACAUUAAUCUUCUCUUUUUUUUUUUUGGAAUUUAUGUGUUUGAGUGGCCUCUUUGCUUCACAUUUACAUUUUUAAUGCUUUUUGACUUAUUUUGAGAGAGGAUGUGCUCAUGUGACUGCACGGUUCGCGCCUGUGGUGUGACUCCCGUGAGAGGGACAAUGUGUUUAUUGUGGGCACGCUGCUUCUACCGUUCUGUGGAAACAUCACAAUUUAUUAAUUUAUUAACUAAUUUUUCGGUUAAUGUAGUAUAUUACUAUUCUUACUCAGCAUAAGCUCGUUUUCCAAGUAAAAAAAAUGAAAGACACUCAUAAACUGUUUGAAGCGUGUUCCAAAUUUGGAUUCCAAGGCGUAUUAAAGGGUUUUUUUGCAUAUAGCCUCCGUCAAAUUUUUAUUUUAAAAAUAGUUUUUUUAAAUUUUAAUUUGUAAAAAUGGUCCUGCGUCUGCCAUGCAGGUGUCAUUGACAUUUCUACUCUAUAUUUCUCUUUUCAACAUAUAAAAUAUACAUAUUAAAUACGGUGAACUAUUCACCGUGUCUAAACAUGGUGAAUGAUUCAUCGUGUUUAAUUUAACAUAUAGGCUCUGAUCCCGCCUGCGUGGCACUGAUGUGGCGCCUGCGUGACAAGUUCGGAAUUAUUUUUGAAAAUUAAAUUUUGACAUGAUUAUUUUUAAAAUAAAAAUUUGUUAUGGUGCUAAAUGCAAAAAAGCCCCGUAUUAAAUGGGCUUUCCCUUCAGCGGGUGUAGAAAUAGUGCUGGAGGUGCCUCCGAAUUUUUUGAAUUAGAAUUGGAUAAUAAUUAAAGGGUGGCUCGAUGAUCAUUGUUAACCGUUGUGAGCGUACAAAUAUAAACGGCAAAAGGCAAUUGAAAAGUAAACGAAGUACAAAAAUAAUAAAAUAAAAUAGAGUAUAAUGACUUACCUGAAACAGUUUUUUUUGUAAAAAAAAUACUACGGGUGAAGGAAUACAGAAUUUUAUUAUAAAAAAGAGAAUACGAAAUUUUUGUACGCAAUGCGUUGCGUCAUGUCGCAUCUAGAGUAAAACAAGAAAAUUUCUAAAUAGAUAUUUUUUAUUAUUAUAUUCGAUUCAUACUACGGAGUGCGGAGCUCCUGCACUUCUCGUUUAGUGUCCGUGGUGGGCUAGGGGUUCGGGUUUAUGAGCUCGAGUCUUUCGCUACUUAGACAUUUAUUUUUUAUUUUACAAAUUCUUUUCUAAAUUUAUUUUUUAAAUGCCUCUUUCUCUCUCUCUCUCUCCAUGCAUUAGAGUUCCCUACUAUUCCACGUAGAUCUCUAUACUCCAUCUAUUGGAGGUUGGACCUUUCACCAUAAAGCUAGCUAAGCCUUUCAAGUGAAGAAUGUUUUGUUCGCUGAUUCAUGAGAGCUCAACCGAACCCCCCCACCUCUCCUAACCAUGCACACCAGACGCUCAUUCAUUCAUUCAUUAAUUAUCUCGUAAUUUGUUAAUAAUUAUGCGACCUCUCUCUAUUCUCUAGUCUCUACCCACCUCGUUUUAUUUUAUAUUUUUUUACAUUAAUUAUUAACGCCGUUACAAGCCAUUUACUCGUGUCACAGAGACCAAUAAUAACUAGUUCACGCCCAAAACGGAGCCUCACCUUAAUGUAUUCACAUUGGGUCACGAACCACGGAGGGGUGCGAAUUGAGAGCAGGGACAAGCAUAACGUGACAAAUUAGUGGUAUUUUUGGUCUUUUAAUUACUAGACCACAUUAUUAUUGUUUUAGGCCUCUUGGAACUUUAUUUUAUUUAUUUAUUUAUUUAUUAAGUAGUGUCACCGAGAGUAGAUGACUACUCUUUCUUUGACAAUGUGGUGUGAUUUAUUAUUGGUUUCGUAGCACGAGAGUUAGAGCAAAAUAUAUGUUCGUCAAAAAAUUUAUUUCUAUUUUAUUUUUUAUUCCAACGGACUAGGACAAAAGUUUAUACGAUUAUUGCUUGCACCUGGUGCACUAGUCAAUCUGUGCACUACAUCUCUCAUAGGUCCACAUAAUUUUUUAUUUCCAUAUAACCGACCGUCCCUAAUGCAAGUAACAAAUGAUUUGGUAGUUGGUACCCCUGGCCCUAAGUUUGAAUUCUAGUUGAUUUUUAUUUCCAACUAAGCUUAUUCUUUUAAAAAAUAAACGAGGUGAAUAACAUGCUACUUUUCUCUCAAAAAUAAUAUUUUUCAUUUCAAUAUAUAGUGAAUAAAUACUAAAUGAUGGGAUGGCAUAUCUUCGUUUUAAAUGAAUUUUUUUAGAUAUAUAAUUAUAAGUGUUUGCAUCUAUAAUGUUGAAAUUGCAGUAAUUUAUACAUGUAAUCUAAAAUAUCAUAUAAUUACAUAAGAAAUUAUUUAAAAGAUAUAGAGUAGUUUGUAUUUUCAUAAGUAUUGAUGAGAGUGCAUGAAAAUUAUUUUGUGAGCCUCUCACCGCUAUUCAUGAUGGUGCAUGUGGGAGGUUGCAGUACGCAUGCACCACCAUUACUAAAAAGAACAACAACAACAACAAAAUAAUAAUAAUAAUAAUAAUAAAAUAGGUUUAUCUACUAAUUCCUUAGAAAGAGGUUUUGAGGAAUUAUUACACAGUAUCAUGCCAUUGGUGUGUUCGGAGUAAUCACAUUUAUUGUAUUAAUUAAUGGACCAAGAUCUUUCCCUAUUAGUUCAACAAAACUAAUAAAUAAAUAACUCUCCAGAUCAAAUUACCAAACCACGUUGCACUAUUAUAGUAGUUUAUUUAUCAUGGAUAACACAAAAAACCACCAUAUUUAUAUUCAAAAAUAGGUCUAAAUAUUUGUUCAAUUUUUUAGGCCAAUUAAGUCAGUUUUACACCUAACACUUUUUCUCUCAUAGGUUUUAUAGACCAUUCUUUGUAAAGGUGAAAAAGUCAACUACUGGGACCUCAUCUCUAAACCUUUUUUCCACAUCGAUUUCAAACUUAAAUUUGAAAAAAAAUGUGCAUAUGCUGUUUCUCUCUUUUCCUUUGAAAACAAAAAAAAAGGACAAGACAUUAUUAUAAAAACAAAGGAAAAGGAAAAAGUUAAACCUGAGAUUAGCAACUAUUUUAGUUUGGAGUAAAAGUGAGACUACUCAAAUACACUCCUCCCAUUUACUAACCGUUGGAAAAGGUCGAAGAAAAUUUAAAAAGAGAAAGGGAAAAAAAAUUAAAACCCCAACGGUCGUCCUUCCCUCUCCCUCUCCCUCUCCAACUUUUACAGGAAUCAUGUGUUUGGAGCGAACGAAGCAAGCGCACUUAAUCAUGGCCAUGGCCAACCUCUUCCUCAGAAACACCUACCACAAUUUAUAAUUGCAUUUUAGUCCCCACAUCCCCUUCACCUUCCUAAAAUGAUCUCCUUCUUAUGGACCAGCCCUGUUCCGACAAAGCAGAGGACCCCAACAAACUCUGUCUCCCAUUAACCCGCCACUUCAAACCCAUUUCGCUUUUGAGCUCUUCUGGGUCUCUAGAUCCCCCGAAGAAGCUCCGCCCCCAGAUGGGUUUGUUGUGAAAAAUCCAAUCUUGGUGAGAAAUUUAGGGAGGAGUUGUGUUGUUAGUGAGCGUCCUCUGUUCGGGGAAGCAGCGGGGAUUAGGAUGGAGAGAUUGGGAGAAGCCAUUGUUGGGGAAGGAGAUUGCUAUAGCGAUUCGACGGAGGAGGAGUGUCGCGGGAGCAGUUCGAGCUCGGAGAAUUCGUUGAGCGGAGACCUCCCGCAGAGGCUUCGUCGAUCGGAGGGGUCGGCGGAGCCGUCGGAGGAGUUGGGUUGGCCCAUGAAGAAGAAAAGCUCGAGCUCGGAUGCGGUGGAUGGGAAUGAGAAAAUCCAUGAGGAUGAUGCAGGAGUAGAGAAGCAGAAGCGAAAUGUUUCAGGUAUUGGAUUUCUCUAUAAUUUCUCAUAUUCUCAUAUUUUAGGCAUAUUGCACAUAAAUAAUUCCUUAGUUUAUUAGCAAAUUGUUGUAAAGUGCUUGAGUUUUAUGAACUCAGAGAGUAAUUUUAGGUUUCCAUGUUAGCCUUUUAGAAAUGUAAUCUGAACAGUAAUUAAUUGCUUUUUACUUACUUUGUUUACUCUUCUUCUAAUUAAACCCCUAGAUAUAUGCUUUUUUUUUUAUAUAUAAAUUGGUUAUGUAUUGAGGCUUAUUUUUGUACUUAAUCAGAAAUUGAGAUGAUGAAGGAGAGGUUCUCCAAAUUGCUACUUGGAGAGGACAUGUCGGGCUGCGGCAAGGGGGUGUGUACAGCAUUGGCCAUUUCAAAUGCUAUUACUAAUCUUUGUGGUAAUUUUUUUAAUAUCCUAAGGUUAUUUCUUCAUAAAAUCAUAUAUAUAUAUAUUCCAGAAAUUAUCUCUGUGAGAUCUUAUAAAUUUUUUUUGUUCAUUUUACUGUCCCCAUCAGCAACAAUAUUUGGGCAAUUGUGGAGGUUGGAGCCUCUUCCUCCCGAAAAAAAGUCAAUGUGGCAAAGAGAAAUGGAGUGGCUUAUUUGUGUUAGUGAUCACAUAGUCGAAUUUUUACCCACAUGGCAAACAUUUCCUGAUGGAAGCAAGCUUGAGGUAACUUUGUUAUAAUUAUCUGACCGACUAUGCUGCGUUUUGUCAAAUUACUAUAAAAAAUUCUUUUUGUUAGUUGAAUUCUUUGAAUUUAUAGAGAAGUUUCCCGCGAUUGAUUUAGCCGUGUAAUCUGCUCCUUUAUAAAAACAGAAGCCAUAAUUGUAUUAAGGAUACAUACCUUGGCUACAUGAUAGUGAUUAAACUUCUUGCUGAAAUCGAUUUCAGGUCAUGACAUGCAGACCGCGAUCCGAUUUAUAUGCAAACCUGCCUGCCCUUCGGAAAUUAGACAACAUGCUCCUUGUAAGAACUGCAGCAUAGUAACACCCCUAAUGUAGCAAAUAUAAACCUUUGGAGGAGGGUCAUUCAGAUUAGUUUAUUUCAUUACAGGAUGUACUGGAUAGUUUCAAUGAACCAGAAUUCUGGUACGUUGAUCAAGGAAUUUCUGCACCGGAUUGCGAUGGUUCGGCCUCCUUUCGAAGAGCUUUUCAUCGCCGCGAUGAGAAGUGGUGGCUGCCAGUACCCCGGGUGCCGCCUGGGGGUCUCAGUGAGAGUACAAAGAAGCAAUUGCAGCACAAACGCGAGUGCACGAACCAGAUUUUGAAGGCUGCCAUGGCUAUAAAUAGCAAUGCUUUGGCGGAAAUUGAUGUUCCCGAGUCGUAUAUUGAGUCCUUACCAAAGGUUUGCCUUGAGAUAUUUAGAUGUUUGCCCUCUGUAGAGUUAUCUCCUUGCAUAUUUUUUACUCAAAAACUUGAAUUUCCACCAUUCAUACAACCUUGAACUUGCCAAAAACUUUCCAUAUGAAUUGGAUAAUACCCCGACUGCAAGUAACAAAUAAUGAUACUUUUAUAAGAUAUAUAUAAGUAGAUGAAUCUUCAAGUGUGUGCGAAAAAGACUUCUUGGUUAGGUUGAGCACUACUUGUUUGAUAAUGUUGAUUUGAUUCUCUUUUCUCUAUAGCAAUUAUGUUAUCUUUCACAUCGUAUCCACCGUUUUGAAAUCUUUUAGUAGCUUUUAUUUUAUGUUACAGUCUGACUGAAGUUGUUUUGUUCCUUGAUAUCAGAAUGGCAGAGCGAGCCUCGGUGACCUGAUAUACCGUUACAUCACUUCCGAUCAAUUCUUUCCCGAAUGCCUUCUCGAUUGCCUCGAUUUGUCCUCCGAACACCACGCUUUAGAAAUUGCCAAUCGUGUGGAGGCAUCGAUUUAUAUUUGGCGUCGGAGAACAACUAACAAGCCAAUGAACAACACGAGCCGAAGUAGUGCUAAAUCAUCUUGGGGCAUGGUGAAAGAUAUGAUCAUAGAUGCAGAGAAAAUUGAGUUGCUUGCCGAGAGAGCCGAGGGCCUCCUGCUUUGCUUGAAGCAAAGGUUCCCUGGGCUCACACAAACUACCUUGGAUAUGUGCAAACUCCAAUUCAACAAGGUUCGUCGAUCUUUAUUCGGUCCCUCUUUGUUUUAUCUAGAGUUGAUUACAAAUUAGGUCCUUGAAGUUCGACUCGUGAAGUAUCAGUUUGUUCCAAAGUUUUGAAGAUUCGGUCCUGAACUAAAAAGACACCACUGCAGUGUCAUCGCUCAAAUUGAAAUAUCAAACAAAACUGUCAUAUCAGCAAAUCCUCAGAACGAAUGAUGUUGAUAUGGUGUCUUUUCUUAAAUGAUUGACUGAAGGGAAGGCAUAAUUAUUGUACAGGACAAAAUUCAAGACUGAAUUGAUACGAGCUAACUCGAAAGUUCUUUUCUGUUUGGCUAAAAUUUGCAGGACGUCGGAAAGUCCAUCCUAGAAAGCUAUUCACGAGUACUGGAAAGCCUUGCCUCUAACAUUGUAGCUCGCAUCGACGAUCUGCUUUACGUAGAUGACUUGAGUAGGCAUACGGAUCAGUUCUCCUCAAUUGUUCACAACAAAGUUAUCACUUCGUCGCACUCGGUGCCUGUCUCAGGCACUCCAUUUGAAACUGCUUACGCUACCCCGAGCUACUCUCCCGCGCUGGGAAUCAGUCCGAUAAAAGGAGAGAAGGCACUUUUGCUCAAUAGGAAACUGAGUAGUCGCAGUUUUGGAGUGAAGAAAGUUUUGACAGAAUAUCUGGGUGUCGAGGUGAAGGGAAAGAACAGCAACAAUACUAACACAGCUGAGGUAUCAUCGCUAACUUUAGGGUUUGGAGCUUCUUACUGAGUGAUGUGUUGUUGCAAUCCAUAGUGAAGCGAGAUGUUAGAAAGAUAGGAUUUGUGCUUCAUGUGUUGCUUGAAACUAUUGUUGUUAUGAUUGCUGGUCAAUGUAUUAUUAGACCUCAACAAGUAUAAGGUUCCUUUUCUUUGAGAAUAUGCUCUUGUUGUUGAUCUUAGAUACAGUAAAGUGGCAUGCUGAAUGAUUAAAGGUAACUACAGAUAUGGUAGGUAAAGCAAGCAUAUCUUUAGAAAGAAAAUGAAAGCCAAGAGGUAGAUAGCAUGCCACAAGAAACAUGGCAGCUGCUCAUUGGAGGUUUUCUAAGUGCAGCACUAAUGAAUACUCGGUAAAAUAUAAGCACUAAGAUGUGAUGAAGCAGGUGACCAUGAUUACAGCUCACUCAGUGCUGCAAUAAACAAGCCACGGUGCAACCUCCAUUAAAAUCUUCAUGCAAUGUAUAUUGGCUAAAUUGUAUCGAUACUCCCUGUACUAUUCCAAUAUUACAACUUCGGUCUUGAACUUUCAAUGAACCAAAUUAGUCCCUAGAGUUUCUGAUAUAUUGCAACUACAUCUCUGACAAAACACGACAUUCCCUAUAAAACGACAUUCGUGCUCAUAUUUUAAGUCCAUAACAACACUCAAAAUCGUAGACUCUUUGAGGGUCACGGAUGGAAGUGCAACUAUGUGCGAAAGUUCAGUAACUAGGCUGUUUUCAUGAGAAGUUCAGGGGCUAAGACGCAAUAUCUCGACGCUGCAGCAUUAUGUAUACCUCUCCAGAUGGCUAUGGAAAGCACUGCAGCAUUGAAGAAUGAAGACUAAUAACAGUAUGAAGUUCCUCUGCCUUCUUGUUCUCUUUGCUGCCAUUACGGCUGUAACAGAAAUUACGAAGGCCGACGCGGCUGGGGAGUGUGGUAAGGUCCCGCCAGACCGAAUGGCCCUACGCUUGGCCCCGUGCAUCGCCGCAACACAGGAUCCGCAGGCCCAGGUCUCAGAUAGCUGCUGCUCUCAGAUUCAGAAGUUGGGCCAAAAUCCUAGUUGCCUAUGUGCUGUUAUGCUGUCGAAUACCGCGAAAAUCGUAGGGGUUAAGCCGGACGUCGCGAUAACUAUUCCUAAGCGCUGCAACCUUGUAGACCGUCCCAUCGGUUACAAAUGCGGAGGUGCGUAAAUUGUUGUCGCCAACUACAUUGUUUUUUCUUCUUUUUCACCCAUCAAUUCUUGUACUUCGUGUCAUAACCGUUUUUGUAAUGUUUGUUUGCAGCAUAUACUGUACCUUGAAGGAGAGGAGGUGUAACUGUGUAAGAGUUGCUUCUAAUGUUGUGAGGUGAAAAUGUUGGUAAAAGGCUUUAUGAAUGCCUGCUUAAAUAAAUUACUUCUAAUUUGUAACAGAAGAGUGUGCAAUAAAACUAAAAAGACUGUUGUGUUUCAGCAUCAUAGUGUUGAGUAUAUAAGACUGAAAUGUCAUUAGCUAACAAUCUAGUCUUAGAGACAAAUCGUUAUUUCACAUAGUAUACCUCAAUAAACCUGUGGACUUCUCUACUUUAAUUAUUCAACGGUUUCUGCUAAACCGUAAACUUUCCUUUUUAGGUUAAAAAUGAGAGAUACCAAAAAUGGACUUAUCAAUUGAAAAGUUGGGUUCGGACGAAGCCCAAAACUCGGUGAAACAAACUGGGGUGGGCCAUGUGUCUAAAUUGGCCGAAACGGUUCACUGAGCCUCAGGAGUAAACGGCCCAAAAUUGGGCCCAGAAUAAUUCGGCCCCUUAAGACACUGUCUAGUUUGUUUGACCCGUUUACGCAAUAAGCCUAUGGGCCGAUAUCGCGUUGCGGGUGGGCUUUGUCCUGGCCCAACAUUUCAGUUGAUAAGUCUAUUUUUGGUAUCUCUCGUUUUUAACCUAAAAUAGAGACAACUAAAUCCUGCAUCCAUCGUCGGAGUCGCCCUCUCCUGCAUCCCAUACCAUGCUCUACGAUUAUAAUUUUUUUCAUCAACAGUGAAAAUAUCUUGGACCACCACUUUAACUAUAAAGCAUUUCGAAUCAAACCCCUCAAAUUUUUUUUUUCCUACUCCUACCCAUCAAUAUUUUUUUUAUUUUAAUUUGAGAGGAUUCCAAAUAGUUACCAUUACUAUACUUGAAAGUUGUAUAAAAUGAUAAAAUUAAACUUGAUAAAAUACCCACAGUGACCCCAAAUAGUGACUAUUUAGGAAAAAUCUUCUAUUUGAUAAAUGAAAAAACAANUGCUCCAAAAGGCACUAGCAAUAUUAUUCCUUUUUUUACUACUUUUUUCUACUGCACUAGCAAAAAUAGAAGCAAGAAAAAAAAAAAAAAUUGAGAGCUUCGAUUCAAGAAGGCCUUAUUGUUUAGGGGAUCUAGUACAUCUUUACCUCCGUUUUGCAAUUGUUGCCCCGUCUAAUGAUUAUAUAAGUACAUGGAAUUUUUAUCACCACUAGUAAUCAUUUGAUCACACACAAUGUUCUUCUACCUCGAAUGCGCAAUUUAUUCAACAUCAUCUACCCAUUACUUUAAAAAUUUGCAUCUGUGCAUUCAUUCAACAGCGUGAUUAUUAUUAUAAAAAUUAGAUAUCGUCUAUCCGACGUUGUAAAACCAUCAAACACAUCCAAUCUACAAUAAUAAAUCAAAUUCAAUCUACUCAAUUGUGUUGAAGUGGUGACGAGUUUGGCAUUUAAUUUCAAUACUUUUAAAAGAUGAGUCUACAUGGGGCUCCACAUUAUACUGCCAAUCCAUGUUUAUCAGCAAGCUCUGAACUAAAUAAAAUUCAGCUGAAACAUAUCACACAAUUUCAUAAAAAUUAAAAAUACAUUGAAGAAUCUCUCAUAGAUGAAAUAAAUGAAAUGAGAAGAUUGGUUAUCGAUGCUCUAUAACUGAGACAUCUAAUGUGGUUUUUCCCAUAAAAGAGUGAAUGGUCGACACCCAAUUCAGAUUAAAUCAGAUUUAAAUCAGAUUAAACCAACUAUGAUCGAUUCAUACCAAGCAGUAAAUUGAAAGGUGUGUAGCAUAUAAUCCUAUGAUCUGCAUUAUGCCUCACCAACGAAGCUCUACGGACUAAAACACGACAGUAUCGAGCAUAGUACCCAGAGUCUGCACUAUGUUAGAGGACAUCAGGUUCGAUACGUGCUCUUCCAGAUGCUUCUUUGCAUCCUGCCGGCCGACGUUAGCAAUGGCAAGCUUCUCAGGUGGCAGCUCAUCUUCUUCCUGCACCGCUUUGUUGUAUUUAACAGCUAAAUUCAGCAUUUCCUGCACAUAAUAAACCCUUGUUAAAAUAAUCAUCAAGUUCAUGCAACUGACCCACGGAGUACAACCGAAGGGGCAUUGAGACAAGUACGGUGAAUUAACUAGCAUGAAGAAAAAGCCAAAAAUAUUUGUAGCUGGUUACAUAAGGGCUACCUAAACUGCUGGUUUAUCAAAUAAAAUACAUGACCAACCCAAGUGUUCCAACCUACCACCAAAGCCCUAUUUCGGCCAAUUUUCUUUUAUGGCCAUUAGCAUAUGAAUGUCACAGGACUUCUAAGACUGUCCCACCUGUCUUCAACUGAAAGCCAAGAUAAGCCUUGGGGAAUUUGAGUCAAUUGGCUUCAUGUAACUGACAGCCACUGGCAACAAAAUCAACAGGCAGAUGGUGGAUUGAAGCAGUCAGACUGUUCAUGUCGUUCAUUUUUUAUAUCAUAAUCUUCCGUGGCAACAGAAAUUAGCAAAAACUUCAUGGGUGUGCCAAUAUAUUUGUUUCAUACAAUAAAAAAGAACAGGAUCUAAGAUUGCAUACCUGCACAGUUUGUUCGUUGGUCUUGGAAUGCGCAUCAAACCGCCGCAGCAUUAGACCGUCAGUCCACUUCUUUUUGUGCAGGUUCAGCAACAUCUUUUCCUCCAGUUCAUUUUUCCGAUAAUUUAUGGCAAUAGAAUAAUAAUGCCGGUUCAACCCAUGAAUCAAUGCCUAAACAUAGCAAGAAAUAGGUAUAACUUUGCAAAUAAGAUAGACAAAAUAUGUACGGGAGGCAAGUUUCACUUUAACAAGAAGAGCAAACCUGAAUUGAUGGUUUGUUGAGGUGUCCAACAUUAGAUGUAGUUUGGCGAGGCUCUUGGCCGAGCAUCAUUGUCUGAGGGUUGAUCAACCGAAAAGCAUCAAUGACUACUUUGCCCUUAACACUCUGGAUUGGGUCUACCACAACUGCAACUGCUCUGGGAUUCAAUGCUUCAAAACUCUACAAAAUGUAAAAUAAAGUGAAUUACGAAGUAAUAAAAUUCUAAUACAGACUAUGAGCACACAAUUUGAGCGAGUUGUGACUUGUUAGUUAACUUGAUCACGAGCUUAAAUUAUCCAGUUAACAUUAUGUUUAUACAAGAUUAUUUGAUAUAAAAGCUGAAAAGUUGAAAACCAACAAAAACAAUUUGUAACAGAAUAAACACAACAGUCAGUUCUCGAUACUAAAGAAAAAACAUGCAUCAAAAAAUAAAAAGGAAAUCCCAGGAACACACCUGUUGCGUAUUUAUGUCAACACCAGAGAGCCAACAACCAAAGCCAGGAUGUGAGUGGUACCAUCCCACCACCAUUUCCGGUCUGUGCGGUAGAAUAAGGGGUUAUUCAGGAAAUAAACAUGCUUAAUGCAAACAAUAUGGAGGACAAGAAUGGUAGACCAAAAGAAACCUUCCAAGCUCAAGAAGUACACAAUGCAUCUCGACCACAAAUUUGGAGCAGUUUAUCAAACUUUAAGAAAGGUGGAGAAGAUAAUGUUGUAAGACUAGCCAAAAAUUAAUGCAUAAGACCUACUCUGACCACUUUCAGGACCAAUGAAUUGGCGCUAAACUGCUAAUAUAAGAAACCUCGCUUCUCACAAGCAAUAUCAUUGUGCUUUGGUACCAUUGAUAUAUAGAUAGUUUGGACAGAAAGAAACAGAAAGAGUAUGACCAUUUGCCUAAUACAAACUGGCCUGCUUCUUAUAUAGUCCUAGAUAUUGAUCUCAAAGAGUUCAAGGUUCUGCGAGAUUAUGUCAGUAACAGUUUCAUCGUCAACUCAUUUUUCUUAUCAUGUUCAUGUACAAACAAUAGCUGAAAAUUAUACUCUUAGAAGGUAUUGAGUAUGACGCAUGACUGAAAGAAUCAUCGAAUGUGGAGUCAUAAAAACCUAACGAUAUGCAACUGCCCAGAAUCAUAGAGCCAAAUAGAACUAGCUAAUUUGAAUAGGCAGUGGGUAAACUAAUUAAAAUCUACUAAAUCUGAAAAAUCUUUUGGAUAUUUCUGGCUGAAGUAUUAUUGACUAACAUAUCCAGUUUUUAAGACUAUCCUAUUAUAGGCUACUACAUGAUUUGCUAUCCAAAUUAGUCAGCUGAGAGGAGAUUUAUUCAAGCUACCUCUGGACUAUAGUAAUAUACUUCAUAGAUUGAAGUUAAAAAAAAAAAAAGAAGAGAAAACGCAAAAAGAGAAGACGAAGAGAAUACAUGAACUGUAUUUUGAUCAAUAGAUAUUCACCUGAAAAUAAGGCUUUUGUAUCUAUGCUCGUAGGAGAAAUCCCAAAUUCGACUUCUCUAAAAGGAAAAUCUUAGGACAUAAGAGUACUGAAACGUUCUGACAGCAAAUUCCAAUGUCCUUCAAAUUUCAACAGAUAAUUGCAAAUGUAGGUAAUGAGUAUGAGUAAACCUGCUCAAAAGGUUGAUACUUUCACUGGUCUUGGGACAUUGCUCCUUAGAUGGUGAGGCUUCUUCCUCGAUGCAAUGAAGAAACCCACUCUAGCAUCGACUUAAAUUCAUUCAUCUACUAUAAUCACAGCUAGUUUUUUCCAUUUCCUACAUCCUGUUUUUCAUCAAUCAGCAGGCAUGAACACUCAUUUUAGUACUUGUUGUUGUUCAUUAAUUGACUUACUUCUGGGCAUGAAAGUUGAUCCAUUACGAUCGUAGAAGAAACUAACAAUUUGCAAUCAUAUUAUUCAUCAAAUUCCGCACUCAUUUUCGUGUAAUCAUCCUUUCCCCUCUACAUUAAUUCAAUAUUUUCCGUAUGCGCGGCAUUAUACUGAAGAAUCCUAAUAAAACUAAGUGGCUAAAACUCAGAAAGCAGAAAAAUCUCAGCUUUGCAGCUCCCAUUUGUUUUACCUUCCGGUCUGCUUGAGCAUGUCGAGCAUGUUGGUCUGGAAGACGUGAUCGACGGCCUCGACGCUGACGCCGGUCCCGCUCUGCGGCAUGGCGAAGACGUCGACCACGCGCACCGUGUACUCGUCCACGAACUCCCCCAGCAUCAGCCCCAUCACCUCCAUCGGCACACCCGCCCUACCUGUUUCAGAAACCCCCCAGAGCCGAAUCAGAAACCCUAAUUUGGACACGAAUCCUAGAAGAAGAAGAUAGGAUCGGAUUGGAGGAGAUAAGGUGGGGUGAGGAGGAGUAGGGCUAGUACCGUGCUUGAGCAUCUUGAGGAGGGCGAGGGAGGAGAUGUAGACCUGCUCGGAGGAGUCGAGGAGGGGUGUGUCGGUGGGUGGGUGCCCCAUCCCCCCAGCUCCGAAGAUCCGUUGGAGACGACUAUCCAUGAUCGCUCUCGCUCUCUUGUCGUCGUCGUCGUCGUCGUCGUCUUCUUCUUCUUCUUCUUCUUCUUCUACCGCUUCUGCUUCAAUGGAAGCGGAGACGAAGACGCACAAAACAUCUGGAUCUGUUGUAAUAUAACGUACGCACCAAGCCAAGCCAAGCAGUGGGUCGGUCGGGUUAAGCCAAGUAGCUUGUUGGGCUGGAUUAGGCCAGGCCGGGCAUAUAAGAAGAGAUAGUGGGCUUUUUCUACUUUAAGUGGGCUGGUCCGGUGAAACAAAUUAUCGAUGAGAGAGAGAGUCGACUAGGCCCACUUAACUAGCUGAAAAUCUAUUUAGGUAUCUACUGUCCCAACAAAUUUUGCAUCCUACUACCAGUAGAAGAGUUCGAAGCAUAUUUAAUUAUUAAUUAAAGCAUUAUGACACUGUAAUAACCCAGCCUAGUAAUACUAAUACAAACAAUACGUGGAGGACAAAACCAAUGACUUAAAAUGCUUAGAGCCUAAGUUAUUAAUUAAUAUUGAAAUCUUUUGUCUCUAUAUACACCAUCAUAAUCCUUUUCCUAUUUUAUGUGAGAUAAUAAUUAGGAUGCCACAGACACCAUGAAGGUUAAAAUCUAAUGAUAAAAGCACUCUAUGUUCAAUUGCUGCAGAUUUAGGUUUCACGUAAAAAUAUAAGUUAGCAGUACCUUGUGUCUGCUUCCAACGCAAGUUUUUUUCAGAGUUGAUUGAUUUACCUUGACAAUCGGUAGAGAGAAGCAAGUCAAUAAGCAGAUUAGCAAAUAUCUGUUGCUCAGUGGGGGUUCUAUAUCUGCUAGAGCAAUAAAUAUGUGACCAUGUGAUGGAUCACCCUUUAUCUACCAUCACAGGAAUUAAGAAUAUUUGUUCUCUUUUCUAUAAACUUCCCCAUUGUGAGAAAGUGUUUCUCAAAGAUGAUAUUGAGGUUAAGGAACCUUAACAAUGAUCUCAACAAUCUAUUGUUCCCUAGUGCUAAACAACAUAAAAAGUUAAUAUAUGAAACAGACAGUAUCCAGAAAAAUAAUAAUAAAAAAAAAUCAUCCCAGGUUAAGUGCAAUUUUGACUAGGAAGCUUGCCUAGAGAAUGAGCACUAGUCAAGCAUAAAACUUUAAAAAAAAAAUUUAAAAAAAAAGGCAAUAACCAUACGAUAAGGCAUUUCAAUGAACGGCAGAUGCAACUAGCCAGAGUUAAAACAGGGAAAAGAAAACACUAAAUAAUGUCAGAAUUACAAUAUCUUUAAUAUAGGAGUAUGGCAAUGAUGACUCCACUUGCUUUUUGAGUUCUAUGAAGAAACAUCAGCACAAAAGCUAACAUGUUAGAUAACUGACAAACUUUACAACCACAGGGAAAUGAAGUCUUUUAGGUAUGGAGAUAAUUAGCAGCCAUCAUCAGCUCCAGAGUUAUUUCAGGUUCAAUAUGAAACUCUGUUUCCUUUCCACUGCCAUAAGAAGAAAAUUUAGAUGAGAACAGUUGAAAAGAACUUCAAAUCCAGCAAUAACUCCAGCAGUAAAAAUAUAAGGCUGCAAUGUUCUAUAUCUUGUAAGAAAAUAAUUGAAAGAAUGAAGAUAGUUUAUCAUGAAGUCAUGCCAAACAACUCAGUAGGAGACUUCUUAAUAAAAAGAAAUAUAAGACUACUCGAUAUUAGUAUUGAGAAAUUAGAUAAUGAUCAAUAAAACUGAAUAUCAAUCGUAAUGUUAUUUCUUUUGAGCCAAGAGAGUACAAUCAUUAUUAAGCAGGUACUGGUGUAACAUUAUUCCUUCCUCCGUUUGGUUCAGAGUUAAGGGAUGGAAUAACCCCUUAACUCCGAAGUUAUUCCCAAACACUCAAUUUGAGAGUUGGGGUUAGCUAACCCCAUCUAUAAAUGGGCUAUUACGGGAUAGCCCAUUUGGGGUGGGGUUAGCUAACCCCACCUAACCCCAACCAAACACUAUUUUCUAUUUAUAAUAACCCACUAUCCUUCUUAUCCCACCUACUCCAACCAAACACCAUUUUUCACUAUCUUGGACUAACUCCAACUCCUAACCAAACACAAAAAUACUCUAACCCCACCUUAACCCUGAACUUAACCCUAUCCCUGAAAUAACUAAUUUUUCCUUAACCCCAAACCAAACAGUAUUGGCAGUACCUCUGCAUUUCGACUUCGUAGUCAUGAAUAUUAAGACAGUUCUUAACUAGAUGCUAACAUUCUCCAAAGACCCAAAGUGUCAACAAAACAUUGUCCAAAGCAUUCACCAAAGACCCUAAGUGUCAACAAAACAUUGCCCAAAACAAAAGGAGAGCAACAGCUAUAAGCAAACAGAUGAAAGUAUGGGCUGUUCAAAAUUUCCUGUAAAUGCACUUCACUCAAAUGAUCGACAAAAGGAAAUGGAGGUUCUUGGUAUUAUUUAAGAUUAAGUUAGUUUGAGCAUGAUUCACUGAUGGAUCAGCCACAAUUGAGACCCAUAAAAUUGAGCCAUUUAUUAGUAUGCCAUAUAUAUCUUCUUGCAAUCACUGUUUUCAUAAGAACUUACUGCCGUGCUAAAUUUAUAAGGAGUGAAUUUCUUAGCCAAUAUGAUUAGAAAGAUUUAAGAGACGGCAAAGUCGAAACUGAAUAAACACAUAACCAGAUGAACACGAUCUAAACUCUGAAGAGAGGGUGACAAAGACCUAGUUGCUGUACUGAUAUACAAGUUCUCUUCUUGCACUUACAAUAAAUAUCAAGAGAAAACCAACUAAAAGCUUGUUUUCCAGGACAUCUUGAGAGUUGUUAACUGCAAACCAGUGAAUAUUUCGAAACAAUCUGACAAAGUAAGAAAGGGCAUCGAGAUGUUGACCAUGGUAGCAACAAAGAAGAAAAAGUUUUUGCCACAUCAUUGACCAUAAAUAUUCUUCUGUGAAAAAAUGUUCGGGAAAAAAAAAAUUCUUAUCAGAAACUCUGCUAAAGUAAGAAGCAGAAGAUACCAAGAGGCCAGUUACUGCAGCAAGAAAAUAUAAGAGGUGUAAGAUGGACAAUUUUAAAUGAGGAACAGCACUUUCUAUGCAUGAAUAUUUAAGGGCACAUGGCACUUCAAAGGCACAUUUGUUGCUUGGAUUGAGUUAAUCUAGCCUAACUCGCAAUAUCAUGUGACAGGUUUGAUGCAUGAAUGUGUAAGUUUUUCUUCAGUACCAAAAAAAAACAAUAACAUGUGACAGGUUUGAUGCAUGAAUGUGUAAGUUUUCUUCGGUACCAAAAAAUCGAAAACAGAUCGCCUUGAUUAAUGGCUAGGAUGCUAGUGUGACAACACAAAUGAAUCUUCAUGUAGAAUUUUCUUACUUAAUCUGGAUCAGUAAUUUCCACAAUUGCUGUCUAUUACACAUAUAACGACUAAUUUAGGAUACAUAGCUGUCUGCAAAGGCGUCUAAGGGACCUAAGACUGCGAACCUUAUAGUCAAUUUUCAAUAAUUAUCAUGGAAUUAGAAGAUCACUCUUUAAUACGACUACUUGACAAGUGAGCAUUCACAGUGAUUUAUUGCAAUAUAUGAAGGUGGUAAUAUUAUCUUGUAUGUGUAAAUCACCCACUCUGUUUUUCCUAUGAUGACAAUGUAAUGAAGAAUAACCCUUGAUGUCUACAAGAGACUCUUACUAAAAAUUUCAGUGUAUCAAAAAUCGCAUACUCCAAAACCUUAGUCAGGAAUCAGGAUGUCAGAAAAUCAAGUUUUUAGGAUUAAGUAGUUCAUCUGCACCAACAUCAAAAUCAUUUUUAGUUUUUCCCCAUUACUUGACAGACUGAAAAUGCCUGCAAUCGAGAACAUCAAGAUAACACAAGUUAUAAAUCCACAAUUUUUUUUUAAAGCAAGAAUACAUAUUUCCCUUCAUUCUUAUCAUCUCCAAUAUAGUUUACAUAUGAUUAAGACAAGCUAACAAAGAGAGGAUAAGAUAAUAGCCAAAGUAACAACUGUAUGAUACUCAGAUUUAAAGGUGUCUAUAUGGUAUUGCUGGUCAGAAAUGAUAUGAUGAAAUAUUGACCUAUAAUAGAUAACUGCAAUUUGUAAAAAUCCAAAAACAGGCAAUUCAGUUAGGUGAAUUUCUUUCUCAUUUUUAAGUCGACCAAAUUCUAAAGAACAAGAAGGGACUUUAAAUCCUAGAUAUUGAUACACUACGUCAUCAUUGCAGGUUCAUAACAAAAAAGAUCUUUUUUAAACAACGGUCAUAGCUUCGUAAAAUUUCAAUGCAAGCACUUAGUAUCACAGGAAAUCAUAUCUUCCCAGGAAUUAUGCAAGUUCAGCUCAACAUAAAGGAUGACUGCACUGUGAAUCCAACAGUCGAAAGCCACAAAUUUAGCGGUUCUGUAUUGUAACAAAAAUACGCAGAAUAACAACACUAGAUAUCAGCACAGAUGUAUUAGUUAGGUCCUAGAAAAGCACAAGCUACGUGAAGCCUUCUCUUGUUUCAUAACAUAUUUGUUCAUUCUCUAUGUCUGGUCAACAUUCCUAUCUAAAUGUGCCAAAAAUAACAGUCAAUUAAAAUAGUGCCAAAUGAAUUACUUUUACUUCAAACCAACUUCACGUGGUUACACACAUAUGCAAAUCAACAGUUCAACAUGCAUCAAAGCACUUUUAUGGACUCAAAUAAUUGGAAAAUAAAACAGCGAGAACAAGGAUGAGUAAUUACAUGUUUGCUCUAGUUUUUGUUGUUUUUGAUGUUGAAACGGUCUUUCUUUAUUCAUGGGCAAUGAGUUUCGACAUAUUGGGUGUAUCUGUAUUUAUCGAAGCAUUAAUUUUCGUGCUUAUCCCAAUUGUGGGUUCAGUUUAUGCAUGGCGAAAAGGAUCGUUCAGAAAAAUAGUAUUUCUAACAACUAUAGUACUUAGUAAGUUCUUCUGACUGUAAAGAAUGAAAAUUUGAUUGUAAUGGCUGCCCACACCGCUAUUACAUAAAACCUAAAGAUGCAGGUGCUAUGCAUAACAUUUGAACCAUACAACAUUUGACAUUAAGGAAAUUUUACAACAACAACAGUGCAUGAUCAAACAGAUUCCGAUACAAAGAAAUGGAAAUACCACUACAUUUGCAGUAAUUCAUUCCACAAAUCCCACAACUUAAUGAAAAUCGUCGUAGCAGUAAGACAAUCGGUAGAAUUUCACAAUCCGAUCAAACUCGUUAAGCAUAAGCUUCGUUAUCCCCAUUGCUGUGCCCGUAACAAUUUGUCUUCCUUUCGACUAGGAUUAACACCUCGACACCCCAAAUCCAAGCAAAAUCGACUAAAAACAAGACGUAACGUAGAUCAAUUAAGCGGGAUAACGCACCAACCUGGCGUAUUGAAGAGACCAAUAGAAAUAUUGGCAGAUCUUCUCGAGGAUCGGGGUGCUGAUCUCGGGAAACGUCACCUCGCCGAGCUGCGUCUCCGCGAAUCCUCCUGCGUGGUGCGAUAGAAGAGAAACCGCAUCAGAAACCCUAACCCUAACCCUAGCGUGGAGGGAUCGGAGGAGGGGAUGGAACCUGGAGAGGUGAGCAUGUUGCGGAUGGUCUGGGAGACCAUGGCGGCCUUCUUGUCGACGACGAACUCGAAACCCUCGGCGCUGAUGAGCUUCACCGUGUCCUCCUUCUUCAUCUCUUCGUCGCCCUCUCUUCUCCUUCCUCUCCCUCUCUCCCUCUCCGCCCCCGCUUUCCCCCGAUCGCUAGAAGCAGUUUUUCUGUUACGACCUUUUCUUUUCUUUUUUUUCUUCCCUGCCCUCUUAGUCUUCGUCGUUUGGAAUUACGGAGAGAUGAUGUUACGAGCGGUGGUAAAGUAGGUUGAAAAAAAUAUACUAUUUAUUUUCACGAUGAAUCAAUUACGAUAUAUCUAUAUAUUUUUUUCUUAACUCUAUUUUUUUUAAUAACAUUAGAUAAAUCUUAAUAUCAAAAUAAGUCUUAGUUUUUUACUGUUUUGGUGAACUAAGAUAAUAAUGUUAAAUAUAAAAUUAUAUAAGUAUCGUUCUCUAAUAGCUUAAAAUUUUAAAGUACAAUGAUUAUUUUAUAUAGUAUCAGAGGAAAAGAUUCUGAGUCAAGUCAUGCUAGAUCCCUAACAUAAUUAAGUUCUUCCCAUUUCAUUCAAAUUCACGUCAUGAUCCUUGCAAAAAGUCUCGAAUCCAGACAUGAGUAUUAAAUAUAAAAUUAUAUAAACACCGUUCUCUAACCGCUUAAGCUUUUAGAGACAGUUAAAAAUAGGUAUGGUGAGCUAUUUGGUUGUAUGUAUUUCUAACUGCAUUGCAGUUGAAAGUACAUACAUCUAUUAAAUUUUUAUUUGGUUUAGUGUAAUUAGACCCAAUUGUUGGAGCUGCAUCUGCACGAGAAGGCUCAACUACAGCAGUUUGACCGGAGUCGGCUCACCGAUUAAAAAAAAAAAAUGAAGUGUGAUUUUUUUCCUACGCUUUUUUUUUUUCAAAAAUACCUAUUCAUGAAAUUUGAUGGAGUUUAAUAAUGUCUAUUAGAGUCGAUAAAUUUUGUUCAUACGCUUCUUUUUUUUCAGUAUGUUACUUUAAUAAUAUCUUAAUUUUUAUUUUGACAAAUCUAUAAUAUAUUUGCAUUUAAAAUUUAAUAAAAUCAUACAUAAGUUUAUAAUAUAUAAAUGAUAUAUAAAUAUCAAAAUCUUAAUUAAUAAUUAAAACAUGAUUACAUUAUGCUCAGGAGAGGUAAUCUCACAUUUCUAACUAAAAAUUGGCAGAAUUUACAAAUACAAAUCUCAACUACAGAUUACUAAACAGAAAAAAUAUAACUGCAGUAAUUGCAACUCCAUAAACCAAACAGAUUAGAUGUAGUUAUGACCGUAGAUUUUACAACUGCAUGUAUUUCUAACUACACUACUUUUAUAAUUACAUCUAACCAAACGGCUCCGUAGUGUACAACGGUUGUUUCACAAAUAAUCCGGCUCAUCUCAGCCCUCCGUCUUGUUCCAUAUUCUAAUCUCUACCAACAAAAAAUUUACAGUAUUUUUUGUUAUUUAAAAAUAACUGCGAGCGCUGGAAAGUUAAUCUUAUAAUUUUAAAAUAAAUAAGCUGUAACUUUAAAGUUAAUUCAAUCUAAUUCUCACAACUUUUUGUGUGUUGUAAUUUGUAAUGAACUAAUUCGAUUUUCUCGUACCUACCGAGUAUGACCAGAAUUCAUUGGCGUUUAAAAUUUCAUUUCCAAUAAAAUGCUAAUUAAUCAGCAGUAAAAUAACAACAUUUAUCACACAUUCUCUCUAAAUACUAAUCUUUAUUCGAUACCACGCACUAGAUGAAUAUGACCAGAAUUCAUUGGCUCUUAAAAUUUCAUUUUCAAUAAAAUGCUAAUUAUUCAGCGAUAAAAUAACAACGUUUAUCAUGCAUUCUUUCUAAGUAAUAAUUUCCAUUCAGUUAAUAUCGAGCAUCAGAUGAAUGACAGUAGCUAAUAGUGCUACAUAAUUAUUUUUUAAUCUUUUGGCUGUUGUAAUAGCAAUUCAAUAUCUUACAGUGUUAAAAUCUUAUUUUCAGCAUCUGUCUCGCUUAUGAAAAAUAUUUGUUCUCGUUUACAAAAUUUUCUGUUGGGAUUUACUCAGUUAACCUACUUGAAACUCACUCGUAAAUCAUAAUCCAACUACAAUCGUUUAAUAUAGAUUUAAUAGUCAACAAAACAUAAUGAUUUGAAUCUGUGAACAUAGUUUUCUAGAUCGUACAAGCUCAGAAUGGGCUCGGAUUGGGAGCAAUUGUAACCUUGAACGCAUGUCGGUCCUGAACUGAUGACUAAUUAAAAUUGUAUAAACAAUGUGCACGUAUUUUAAUUCAAAUUAUUAUGUUGCUCAUAUUCAUUCCGUUCAGAGCAAAUUGCAGCAGAUUCCUCACUAAUCCAAGCCGUUAUUGUUCGUAAACCAUGCAAAAAAGUUUGUGGGUUGGGUUAUAGUAAUCGGUGUGAUUUUUAUUCGCUAUUUCUUUAAGGGGAAAAUUCCAGAUACUCUUCCUGUGAUUUCGCACUUUCUCAAUUUAGUACUAUGUGGUUUAAAGUGUAUCAAGUUAGUAUCUUGUGGGCUAUGGUUUCGUACUUUCUCACUUUAGUAUCAUGUGGUUUAAUAUUUUAUUAAAUUAUAUACAAAAAACUUCAGAUACCCUAUAUAGUUUUAUCAAAUAUUCAUUUUAAUACCCUUUAGUUUUAAUUUUGUCAUUGAUUUAACGAAAAAAAUUCUGAAAUAUAUAAUAAAAAUAGAAAAAUAAAACUAUAGGAUACUAACUUGAUAAAAAAAUAAAACCACAGAGUACUAAUUUAAUACAUUUUAAAUCACAAAGUACUAAAAUAAAAAAAAAUAGAAAACUAUAGUUUUAUUUUUCUAUUUUUAUUAUAUAUUUCAGAAUUUUUUUCGUUAAAUCAAUGACAAAAUUAAAACUAAAGGGUAUUAAAAUGAAUAUUUGAUAAAACUAUAUAGGGUAUCUGAAGUUUUUUGUAUAUAANGGAUACUAACUUGAUAAAAAAAUAAAACCACAGAGUACUAAUUUAAUACAUUUUAAAUCACAAAGUACUAAAAUAAAAAAAAAUAGAAAACUAUAAAAUAUUAAUUUGAUAUAUAUUAAAUUAUAUGAUAUUAAAAUGAAACAAUACGAAAUUAAGGUGGGGUAUUUGAAGUUUCGUCUUCUUUUAACGAGCAACCACCCAAUCAAUCAGUGGCCUAAUUUUUUUUUUCUUUUAAGAAAUCCCACCCAUUCAAUCAGAUUAUUAUUAUUCUAUACUUAUAUUCUCUUUCCAGAGUAUCUUCACUAUCUCAGAUGGCCAUAUGACUAGUGUGUCACGCAAUUAUAUUUUGUUAAAUCAUUUUCCCUCUCUUUCUUAAUCUCAUUCAUUACCUUAACAACCCGUCACGUGAUGUGGGAACCAUUACUUAAUUUAGGGCAAAAAUUUUAUAGGGAUCGUCCACAAACUAAAUAACUUUUUAGUUUAUGGACGAUGCGGAUAGACGCCGCGUGGCCCUCUCCUACGAGAAAAAAAAAAAAAAGUGGGCCUCAAUUUUUAGAGAGAGAGAAAGUGAUGGACAGGGAAGGCGAGGAUAGGCGCGCGCCAGCCACGCGGCGCCCAUUCGUAUUGUCCUAAAUUUUUAGUUUGGAGAUAAUGUCCAUAUAAUUUUUAUCCCUUAAUUCGCUAGUUCUCUACUCCAUUAAAAUUAUCCUAAAAGCUCCUUUUUCUUCGGACAUUUUGUCGAAACAAUCUUAUAAAAAUUUAGAUUUAGAUAAAUAGUUUUCUAAAUUUUUUUUUGGCAAAUUGAUCUAUAUUUUGUCAAAUAAAACAGUGAAUCGUUUAUCGUCUUUAUGAAAACUGUGAAUUAUUUAUCGCCUCCUAUUUUUUCAUAAAAGCGUUCACCAUAUUUUCCUCAAUGUAUAUCUCUCUUUUUUUUAUUUUUUAUUUAUAUCCUAACAACCAUAUAAACAUUUCAAUAAAUUAAUACAAUUUUAACUAUCUAAAAAAUCUUACUAAUCUAUCCCUACAAUCCUAACAAUUAAAUUAAAACUCUAAUAAUUCACAUACAAUUUUAACAACCUUACUCUCUUUUUUUUUUUUCUAUUUUUCAUAUAUAAUCCCAACAAUCAUAUAAAAAUUUCAACAAAUCACAUUUUUUUAAUUUUUUAUAUAUAAUUCUAACAAUCAUAUAAAAAUUUUAAUAAAUUAUAUACAAUCUUAAAAGUAUAAAAAAAAUCUAAAAAAAUGAUUCACCGUCUUAAUAGAAUAUUAUGAAGACAGUAAAUUAUACUCUUUCUCAACUUACUAGAGUUUUGUAAAAUAAUUUUAUGAAUUUUUAAUUUUGAUAAUUAAAUUUUUAAAAUUUUAUCAAAAGUUUGAUUCACUAUUUUUCAGUAAAAUUACUAAUUAAACAAUCACCGGUGAUAAUUUUUAGAUAAUUUGAUGAAAAUAUUAAAUAAAUACUCUAAAAAAGAGUAAAUUUUACGCUCUAAUUGAAAUAUAUACAUAGCAUUACUUAUUUCCUAAAGUGUCAAAAUAUAAAAAACUUAUUUUUUUUUACUUCUCCGAGUGAAACUAAAAUAUUAAAACGAAAACUAAUAUAAAUUUAACUUUCUAUUUUUUUCCCUGCAUUUUAAAGCCUGCAAAAUCACAGAUAAUAUGUUCCUGGAGAAUAGUUGUUCAAGUUGUAAUUUUAAUUAAAGAAAUUGGAAGAUUAUUUAUUAAAAAUUUAAAAUAUAGAAAGUUUGGUAUUUUUAUUUCUUAAAAAAUGGUCCAUCCCUAUCUCGCCCGUGUCUCUCUCUCUCACUCCCCUGCGACUCCACCUGCCAUUAAAGCAUACACAGUGCCGUACAGUGUGUGCUCAGGUGGACCAUCACCUCGGCAUCCGUGUUUCGACGGGAAACUCGGGCGCUCUCCCUUGCCCCCACUCUUUCCCCCUCUUCUCAAGCAAAAGAUAUUCACACACACACACACACACACACACACGCAUACGCAUACACUCUCUCUCUCUCUCUCUCUCUCUCUCUCUCUCUCUCUCUCUCUCUCUCUCUCUCUAACCACUGCAGAGAGAUUCAGAUACAGCACAAAACCCAAAGAACAAAGGCUCACAAUCACAGCGCUCCUCACUAACUCUCUCUAUCUCUCUCUCUUUCUCUGCGGAUACAGUGAUUUGAUCGCAUUAACUUAACUGCAGCAGGCGACGUCACGGCCACCGCACCCUUCCAAGCUGCCCUGUACGCACCUAACCCGUUUCAGCAGCUUUUUCAAUACACCCGGCCCACCGUAGGCAUCCAAGAACCCAGCCUUUAUUUGACUUUUCUUCGCACUCACAGUCCUGUUGCUGUAGAAGCUUUAAAUCCAGAAAUAGAUCGAACGGCAGAUUACGUACCGUCCAGCAGUUUCAUACUAUACAACUUGCCAUCGGAGGGUGGCAAUUCAGUUCCUAGUUUGGGAGCCCAUUCUAUUCUAUUCAAAAUGAGUUUGGGAUCGAAAUGCUCUAUUAGUAAACAAUUCGAAAUUUUCGAUAAACGAGUCGAACACCAGUUAGGAUCAGCUCGAUCAUAUUCGGCUUGAAAACAGUUCGAAUAUAUAUAUUUUAUAUUUAUAUAAUUUGUAUAUUUUAUAUUUGUACAUAUUAUUUAUAUAUAAUAUAUAUUUUUAUUAUUUGAUUUUUAGUUCUACCUAAAUAUAAAGUCUAACUCAAUUAUAAAAUUUUUUAUUUAUAUGUAAAAUUUUACAAAUUAGAUAAAAGUGCAAUGAAUAAAAACUCAUAAAUUUAUUUACUAUAUAUAUAUUUAAUUUUUUUAAUUUAUUAUUCAUAAGUUAGUUUGUGUUUGGCUCGUGGACAUUUUCUACUUGCAACCACUAAAACAAGAUUUUAUUUUUUAAGCAUGAUAUAUACUAUAGUGCAAACUAGCUGACAUCUUUAUUCAACAUAUAUA
rnacentral:lncRNA from 1 species